rnacentral:rRNA from 1 species
GUUCGCCAAGGUAAACUUUGUUCGGCGUUACGUUAUCCAAACAGAAAGGCCACGGCUAAAGUACGUGCCAGCAGCCGCGGUUAAUACGUAGGUGGCAAGCGUUAUCCGGAUUUAUUGGGCGUAAAGCGAGCGCAGGCUGUUUUUUUAAGUCUGAUGUGACAGCCCUCGGCUUAACCGAGGAAGCGCAUCGGAAACUGGGAAACUUGAGUGCAGAAGAGGACAGUGGAACUCCAUGUGUAGCGGUGAAAUGCGUAGAUAUAUGGAAGAACACCAGUGGCGAAGGCGGCUGUCUGGUCUGUAACUGACGCUGAGGCUCGAAAGCAUGGGUAGCGAACAGGAUUAGAUACCCUGGUAGUCCAUGCCGUAAACGAUGAAUGCUAGGUGUUGGAGGGUCUCCGCCCUUCAGUGCCGCAGCUAACGCAUUAAGCAUUCCGCCUGGGGAGUACGACCGCAAGGUUGAAACUCAAAGGAAUUGACGGGGGCCCGCACAAGCGGUGGAGCAUGUGGUUUAAUUCGAAGCAACGCGAAGAACCUUACCAGGUCUUGACAUCUUUUGAUCACCUGAGAGAUCAGGUUUCCCCUUCGGGGGCAAAAUGACAGGUGGUGCAUGGUUGUCGUCAGCUCGUGUCGUGAGAUGUUGGGUUAAGUCCCGCAACGAGCGCAACCCUUAUGACUAGUUGCCAGCAUUUAGUUGGGCACUCUAGUAAGACUGCCGGUGACAAACCGGAGGAAGGUGGGGAUGACGUCAAAUCAUCAUGCCCCUUAUGACCUGGGCUACACACGUGCUACAAUGGAUGGUACAACGAGUUGCGAGACCGCGAGGUCAAGCUAAUCUCUUAAAGCCAUUCUCAGUUCGGACUGUAGGCUGCAACUCGCCUACACGAAGUCGGAAUCGCUAGUAAUCGCGGAUCAGCACGCCGCGGUGAAUACGUUCCCGGGCCUUGUACACACCGCCCGUCACACCAUGAGAGUUUGUAACACCCGGAAGCCGGUGGCGUAA